rnacentral:rRNA from 1 species
CUGACCUCAAAUCAGGUAGGACUACCCGCUGAACUUAAGCAUAUCAAUAAGCGGAGGACAAGAAACUAACAAGGAUUCCCCUAGUAACGGCGAGUGAAGCGGGAAGAGCUCAAAUUUGUAAUCUGGCGGUCUCAGGCCGUCCGAGUUGUAGUCUGGAGAAGCGUUUUCCGCGUCGGACCGUGUACAAGUCCCUUGGAACAGGGCGUCAUAGAGGGUGAGAAUCCCGUCUUCGACACGGACUGCCGAUGCUUUGUGAUGCGCUCUCGAAGAGUCGAGUUGUUUGGGAAUGCAGCUCAAAACGGGUGGUAAAUUCCAUCUAAAGCUAAAUAUUGGCGAAAGACCGAUAGCGAACAAGUACCGUGAGGGAAAGAUGAAAAGCACUUUGGAAAGAGAGUUAAACAGUACGUGAAAUUGUUGAAAGGGAAACGCUUGAAGUCAGUCGCGUCUUCCGGGACUCAGCCUCGCUCCUGCUUGGUGCAUUUCCCGGAGUGACGGGCCAGCAUCGAUUUCGGUCGUCGGAGAAAGGCCGAGGGAAUGUGGCACCCUUCGGGGUGUGUUAUAGCCCUCGGUCGUAUGCGACGACUGGGAUCGAGGAUCGCAGCACGCCUUUAUGGCCGGGGUUCGCCCACGUAACGUGCUUAGGAUGCUGGCGUAAUGGCUUUAAGCGACCCGUCUUGAAACACGGACCAAGGAGUCUAACAUGCCUGCGAGUGUUUGGGUGGAAAACCCGGACGCGGAAUGAAAGUGAACAAGUUGGGACCUCUGUCGCGGAGGGCACCGACGCCCGGACCAGACCUUUUGUGACGGUUCCGAGGUAGAGCAUGUAUGUUGGGACCCGAAAGAUGGUGAACUAUGCCUGAGUAGGGUGAAGCCAGAGGAAACUCUGGUGGAGGCUCGUAGCGAUUCUGACGUGCAAAUCGAUCGUCGAACUUGG